rnacentral:rRNA from 1 species
AUACGUAGGUGACAAGCGUUAUCCGGAUUUACUGGGUGUAAAGGGCGUGUAGGCGGGUCUGCAAGUCAGAUGUGAAAUCUCCGGGCUUAACUCGGAAGUGUCAUCUGAAACUACGGAUCUUGAGUACUGGAGAGGAUAGUGGAAUUCCUAGUGGCGCGGGGAAAUGCGUAGAGAUCGGGAGGAACACCAGUGGCGAAGGCGGGUAACUGGACUACAACUGACGCUGAGGCGCGAAAGUGUGGGGAGCAAACAGGAUUAGAUACCCUGGUAGUCCACACUGUAAACGAUGAAUGCUAGGUGUAAGAGGUAUCGACCCCUUUUGUGCCGGAGUCAACACAAUAAGCAUUCCGCCUGGGGAGUACGGCCGCAAGGUUGAAACUCAAAGGAAUUGACGGGG